GACGAACGCUGGCGGCAUGCCUAACACAUGCAAGUCGAACGAGACCUUCGGGUCUAGUGGCGCACGGGUGCGUAACGCGUGGGAACCUACCCUUAGGUUCGGAAUAACUCCCCGAAAGGGGUGCUAAUACCGGAUAAUGUCUUCGGACCAAAGAUUUAUCGCCUUUGGAUGGGCCCGCGUUGGAUUAGCUAGUUGGUAGGGUAAAAGCCUACCAAGGCGACGAUCCAUAGCUGGUCUGAGAGGAUGAUCAGCCACACUGGGACUGAGACACGGCCCAGACUCCUACGGGAGGCAGCAGUGGGGAAUAUUGGACAAUGGGCGAAAGCCUGAUCCAGCAAUGCCGCGUGAGUGAUGAAGGCCUUAGGGUUGUAAAGCUCUUUUACCCGGGAUGAUAAUGACAGUACCGGGAGAAUAAGCUCCGGCUAACUCCGUG
rnacentral:rRNA from 1 species